UACGGAGGGUGCGAGCGUUGUCCGGAAUCACUGGGCGUAAAGGGCGCGUAGGCGGCCGGCCAAGUCGGGGGUGAAAGCCUGUGGCUCAACCACAGAAUGGCCCUCGAUACUGGACGGCUCGAGACCGGAAGAGGUUGGUGGAAUUGCGAGUGUAGAGGUGAAAUUCGUAGAUAUUCGCAAGAACACCGAUGGCGAAGGCAGCCUUCUGGGCCAACACUGACGCUCAUGCACGAAAAGCGUGGGGGAGCAAACAGG
rnacentral:rRNA from 1 species